CUAAACUUGACAUCUCCUGCAUUACUCUUAAUCGAGGAAGUCCCUUCGGGGACAGGAAGACAGGUGGUGCAUGGUUGUCGUCAGCUCGUGUCGUGAGAUGUUGGGUUAAGUCCCGCAACGAGCGCAACCCUUAUUGUUAGUUGCUACCAUUUAGUUGAGCACUCUAGCGAGACUGCCCGGGUUAACCGGGAGGAAGGUGGGGAUGACGUCAAAUCAUCUUGCCCCUUAUGUCUAGGGCUACACACGUGCUACAAUGGCUGGUACAGAGAGAUGCUAAACCGUGAGGUGGAGCCAAACUUUAAAACCAGUCUCAGUUCGGAUUGUAGGCUGAAACUCGCCUACAUGAAGCUGGAGUUGCUAGUAAUCGCGAAUCAGAAUGU
rnacentral:rRNA from 1 species